UACAGAGGUCUCAAGCGUUGUUCGGAUUCAUUGGGCGUAAAGGGUGCGUAGGCGGCGAGGUAAGUCGAGUGUGAAAUCUCGGGGCUCAACCCCGAAACUGCACUCGAUACUACUUUGCUCGAGGACUGUAGAGGAGAAUGGAAUUCACGGUGUAGCAGUGAAAUGCGUAGAUAUCGUGAGGAAGACCAGUUGCGAAGGCGAUUCUCUGGGCAGUUCCUGACGCUGAGGCACGAAGGCUAGGGGAGCAAACGGG
rnacentral:rRNA from 1 species